ACUUAAAUAAUUUAAAUAAAAUAUUGAUUUGUGGAAUCAAAAAUGUGAGAAUUCAUUUUAAGUA
rnacentral:tRNA from 1 species